UGAUAGUAUCUAUUGCCAC
rnacentral:snRNA from 1 species